rnacentral:ncRNA from 1 species
CGGCGGCUGUAACUCUGACGGUCCUAAGGUAGCGAAAUUCCUUGGCGGGUAAGUUCCGUCCUGCACGAAUGAUCGAACGAUCUCUCUACUGUCUCCAGUAACAUCUCAGUGAAAUUGAACUUUCCGUGAAGAUGCGGAAUUCUCUAAAGCUAGACGGAAAGACCCUAUGCACCUUUACUAUACGUUCUGCAUAGCGUUUACAAAAUAAUUGUGUAGGCUAAGUGGAAGCGGAGGAAAACGUAGCGCUAGCAACGUGUACCGCGCAAGGUGAAAGACCAUUCUGUUAUUUAUGUGACGACGAGGCGAAACCGUUUCAACAGCUGCUACAGCUUUGAAAUAAGUAAUUGCUAAUAAUGCAGGCGAGGUAGUUUGACUGGGGCGGUCACCUUCCAGAUAGCAACGAGGGCUCACAAUAGCAGAUUCAAACCUAGGGGGCUAGGUUGGCGAGCGCAAUGGCAGAUACCUGCUUGAUGGUGAGACGUUGCAGUCGAACCAAGAUCUAUACGGUCGGACAUAGUGACCCGGUGUUUUCUUCGAAACAAAACAUCGCGCAAAAGAUAAAAGGUACGCUAGGGAUAACAGGCUUACCACUCUUUAGAGUUCCUAUCGAUGGAGUGAUCUGGCACCUCGAUGUCGGCUUAUCGCAUCCCGGAGCUGAAAGCGGUUCCAAGGGUUUGGUUGUUCACCAAUUAAAGCGGUACAUGAGCUGGGUUUAGAACGUUGUGAAACAGUUCGGUCCCUAUCUACUUUAGAUAAUUAACGUGUCGAGGCCUUACUCCUAGUACGAGAGGACCGGAUAAAGUCAAAUCCCUGGUGAACGAGUCGUGGCGAAACUGCGUCGCUCGUUAGCUACAUUUAUAAUUAAUAAUCGCUGGCGACAGCUAAGCGAGAAAUAAAACUUACACACGCUAAAGGCACAUUCAAAGAAUAUGAUUUCGUUGGCCUGGCUUCAUGAGUUUGAGAGGGCUUUGAAGACCAGGGCCGCGCGCUAUUGUUUUAUUUUU